UACGGGGGGGGCAGGCGUUGUUCGGAAUUACUGGGCGUAAAGGGCGCGUAGGCGGCCUUCUAAGUCGGACGUGAAAUCCCUCGGCUUAACCGAGGAACUGCGUCCGAUACUGAAAGGCUUGAAUCCGGGAGAGGGAUGUGGAAUUCCAGGUGUAGCGGUGAAAUGCGUAGAUAUCUGGAGGAACACCGGUGGCGAAGGCGGCAUCCUGGACCGGUAUUGACGCUGAGGCGCGAAAGCUAGGGGAGCAAACGGG
rnacentral:rRNA from 1 species